UAGGGAAUAUUGCAAAAUGGGCGAAAGCCCGAUGCAGCAACGCCGCGUGGCGAUGAAGGCCUUCGGGUCGUAAAGCCCUUUUUGAGGGGAUGAGGAAGGACAGUACCCUCAGAAUAAGCCUCGGCUAACUACGUGCCAGCAGCCGCGGUAAAACGUAGGGGGCGAGCGUUAUCCGGAUUUACUGGGCGUAAAGCGCGUGCAUGCGGAUUGGAGAGUUGGAUGUGAAAGCUCCCGGCUUAACUGGGAGAGGUCGUUCAAUACUUCCAGUCUUGAGUGCAGUAGAGGGAAGUGGAAUUCCGGGUGUAGUGGUGAAAUGCUUAGAUAUCCGGAGGAACACCAGUGGCGAAAGCGGCUUCCUGGACUGUAACUGACGCUCAGACGCGAAAGCUAGGGUAGCAAACG
rnacentral:rRNA from 1 species